rnacentral:rRNA from 1 species
AUUGAACGCUGGCGGCAUGCCUUACACAUGCAAGUCGAACGGCAGCACGGGGCAACCUGGUGGCGAGUGGCGAACGGGUGAGUAAUGCAUCGGAACGUACCUUUCAGUGGGGGAUAACGUAGCGAAAGUUACGCUAAUACCGCAUAUUCUGUGAGCAGGAAAGCAGGGGAUCGCAAGACCUUGCGCUGAUUGAGCGGCCGAUGUCAGAUUAGCUAGUUGGUGAGGUAAAGGCUCACCAAGGCGACGAUCUGUAGCGGGUCUGAGAGGAUGAUCCGCCACCCUGGAACCGAGUCACGGGCCAGACUCCUACGUGAGGCAGCAGUGGGGAAUUUUGGACAAUGGGGGCAACCCUGAUCCAGCCAUGCCGCGUGAGUGAAGAAGGCCUUCGGGUUGUAAAGCACUUUCGGCCGGGAAGAAAUCGCACGGGCUAAUACCCUGUGUGGAUGACGGUACCGGAAUAAGAAGCACCGGCUAACUACGUGCCAGCCGCCGCGGUAAUAC